rnacentral:lncRNA from 1 species
GAGGGAGAGGAAGAAGGGGUGAGAGGGAGAAACCUGCCGCCGCUCGCCGCCUCUUUGUCUGCUCCGGGACUGGGAACAAAAGGGGGAACUCUGAUGAACUCUCUCUCCUCCCCUCUCCCCCGGACGCCCGGGUAUCUCCCUCUCGCAACUUUGCCUACGCGACUUUCUCUGCUGUCAGGCCACAAAAAAGUGUCCUAGAGCCUCGCCGACUGCAACAAGGGAAACCACGUCUCUCCAAAGUGCGACCAAGUGGGGAAGAAGGUGUGAUUCUUGUGAGCCUCUAAAAGCAUCAUGCAGUGGCUGGGGGACCUCUGGAGUUGACCUUCGGUGUCCUGCAGCGUUCUCACUGGAUCUAUCAGGGGGCCACCUGGAUCGCCAGUGCAUCAGAUCCUUCCUGGAUUGGAGUUGCUUCAGAGUUACCCUGUUGGGAUUUGGGGCAAUGCCUUCCUCCUGUGGAUUACUACACCCUGGUGACUGGGAGUCCUCCACCUGGAAAGCACCCAGGGGACGGGGACGGCGAAGAGCUCGCACAUCGGCCUAUCCAGAGGCACGUGUGGGAAGAAAGGACGAGAUCGUAACGUUGAGAUUGAAUGUGUCUCAAUCUCCACAUCCUUAACUGGCUGCUUUGAUGCACUUGAGUUUGCUGCAGAACUCGAGGGGAGGAAGGAGGGCGACCGUGACAAUCAAAGGGGAAGAAAGAGCAGGGUAGGACUCCGUGACAUUUGAGGGUAAGUUUUGGAGCUGUUGCAAGAAUUAUGGCUGCUGUGACUGUUGGGCC